UUAGUCUUGUAAUUUAAGACUGGGAUGAAAGGAUAAACUAAAAAGCUUAUGUCUCAUUUGUUAAUUUUAAAUUUUACUUUUUAGUAAGAAGGCUAAAAUGCUUCUUUUAGACAAGAAGACCCUAUAAAACUUUACAUAGAAUAAUUUAGUAAAUUGAUAAUAUGUUUUGCUGGGGCGGCAAAAAGAGAAACACUUUUAAAUCAUUAAAAAUGUUAUUGUUUUAAUACCCAAAACUUUUGAAACUUAAAUAAGUUACUUUAGGGAUAACAGCGUUAUAUACCUUUAAAGCUCAAAUUGACAGGUAUGUUUGCGACCUCGAUGUUGGAUUAAAUUUCCUUAUUACGCAAGAG
rnacentral:rRNA from 1 species